AAUGAAGUGCCUGAAUAAAGGGCUAUUUUGAUAGAAUAGAUCAUGUACUAAGCAAUUACCUUCAUUA
rnacentral:tRNA from 1 species